rnacentral:rRNA from 1 species
GUCCACGCCCUAAACGGUGGGUACUAGGUGUAGGGCUCGUAAGGGUUCUGUGCCGAAGGGAAACCAUUAAGUACCCCGCCUGGGAAGUACGGCCGCAAGGUUGAAACUCAAAGGAAUUGACGGGGGCCCGCACAAGCGGUGGAGCAUGUGGUUUAAUUCGACGCAACGCGAAGAACCUUACCUGGGGUUUUGACAUGUAGGUAGUAGGGAGAUGAAAGUCAACCGAUUCGUAGCAAUACGAAAGCCUAUGCAGGUGCUGCAUGGCUGUCGU